ACCCUUUUAAAUGACCAAAAUGCCCUUAUGAGGCAUAGUUUGGGUUUAAAAACCACUUGGGGCAUAAUGGAAGGUAUCAUUCUGAUAUCACAACAUGUUUAAGGCAUAUUAACUUAGGAAACUUGUAUAUGACUCUUAUGGUUACUCGUUACACACUUUAUGCGUUCGGAUCGGCAUAGGUAACUAGUUUACCCAUUAUAGCCGAAACGGGUCAAACCAUAUCAUUUCAGUCUCAAAAUCCAGAAUGUGAUUAAGUUACCCAUAUUAAACAAGUAUGCAAGCUUGUUGGGUCAAAACCACAUUCUAAGACGGUCUUCGCCUUAUCGUGCGUUUAAACCGUAAUCUUCAUUUGAGAACUAACCGGUCUAGGCUUAGGCCAAAUUAAAAGACCCGUUAGGAUUCUAAUAGGUUAUUAAAAACCUUCGUUCCAGAUUUAGGAGCCCAGUAAAAGCUAUCUGUACUUGCUUGGUGGUAUACGACUGGGAUUAAAUUUAUAUUUAGCUCAGGUAAAUACGUUUAACUUAUUUUCCCUAUACGGGCUUGGGGUACGGUAUAUAAAAUACCGCUUGGUCGGGUAAUUGACCUUAACCGGUCGGUGGUUAAGAGUAGUCAAAUAACCCGUUUGAAAAUGCUGUUUUGUUUGUAUAAUGCCUUUGGGGGCUUAAUGACCAUGUCCCGGAUAUCCUUAGCAUCAUUCAAAGAAUGGCCACGACCUUAGCAUACGGGUGUAGGCGUACACCCGUAGUGCAUUAAAUAAAGUAUAACAGUCGGUACGAGAGGAAAUCUCGCGGCGGAACUAUACUAUGUGGUGUGUCUAUUAAACUUUAAUCCGGCACGACCCGGAUACUGAACGCUAACAAACAUGUAAUUCUUUUACAAGAUUAUAGGCAAAUAAUUGUCCCAAGUUAUAAAAUGUUUUGUACUACGCGUAAUAGGCUGGUUUCUCCUAGCAUCAAAUAGAAGUCUCGCAAGCUUAGAUGCCUGAAGUCCGUUGAACAAUGUUUUAUUUUAUUCUGCGAUCCGCCUGUGGAUCUUUUACUUUCCGUUUGUAAUACUUGGAUAUUACUUCAUAUCGGAUUGUAAUAUAUUUUGCUUCCGCUGU
rnacentral:lncRNA from 1 species